AAUGCCGUCACUUUGCUAGCGUCACUCUAGUACGUUACACUGUCUUAUCGUGUACUAUUAUCAGUGUGAAUUAUUAAUAGCUACGAGUAGUAGUAUAGCAAAGAUAUUUCUUGGUACUUCGGAUCUUUUGUAGAAAAUAUGUAGAAAAUACGCACACGUUUAUGUAUUACAUUAUUCAACUUCUUUAUUGAAACAGACCUCCCUUGAAAAACAAAGAUUUUAAAAAAGGUGCACAAUACUAUGUAUGCUUGUUAUUAAAAUGAGAAUAAAAUAAAAUAUUUAUUUAAA